AAUAGAUACCCUGGUAGUCCACGCCGUAAACGAUGGAUGCUAGCUGUUAGGAGUAUCGACCCUUCUAGUAGCGAAGCUAACGCGUUAAGCAUCCCGCCUGGGGAGUACGGUCGCAAGAUUAAAACUCAAAGGAAUUGACGGGGGACCCGCACAAGUGGUGGAGCGUGUUCUUUAAUUCGAUGUUAAGCGAAGAACCUUACCAGGACUUGACAUCCUUGGAAUUUUUGGGAAACCAGAAAGUGCCUUUUGGAGCCAAGUGACAGGUGUUGCAUGGCCGUCGUCAGCUCGUGUCGUGAGAUGUUUGGUUAAGUCCAUUAACGAGCGCAACCCUUAUGAUUAGUUGGAUUUUUCUAAUCAGACUGCCUCGGCAACGGGGAGGAAGAAGGGGAUGAUGUCAGGUCAUUAUUACCCUUACGGUCCUGGGCUAGAAACGCGCUACAAUGGCCGGUACAAAGGGCAGCCAACCCGCGAGGGGGAGCAAAUCCCAUCAAAACCGGUCCCAGUUCGGAUUGCAGGCUGAAACUCGCCUGCAUGAAGCCGGAAUCACUAGUAAUCGU
rnacentral:rRNA from 1 species